GGCCCAAAUCUGAAGUAAGGUAGGUUAGUAAGGUCAGCUGAUCCUACUGUUCUACUGUACUUCGGAAAUGGGCCC
rfam:Haemonchus contortus, ISE/inbred ISE, WGS project CAVP01000000 data, contig: Hcontortus_34825